rnacentral:rRNA from 1 species
GAUGAACGCUAGCUACAGGCUUAACACAUGCAAGUCGAACGAAGCAUCCAAGAUUGAGACUUCGGUGGAUAGAUUGGAUGACUGAGUGGCGGACGGGUGAGUAACGCGUGGGCAACCUGCCUCGUACAGGGGGACAACAGUUGGAAACGGCUGCUAAUACCGCAUAAUGUACAGAGGGGGCAUCCCUUUUGUAUCAAAGGAGAAAUCCGCUGAAAGAUGGGCUCACGUCUGAUUAGCUGGUUGGUGGGGUAAAGGCCUACCAAGGCUGCGAUCAGUAGCCGGACUGAGAGGUUGAACGGCCACAUUGGGACUGAGAUACGGCCCAG